GAUUGUUUGGCUACCAACAAC
rnacentral:snRNA from 1 species